UAAACCUCUGGUUGAAAGCGGCAAUUGAUUCAUCGAGCCGCGCCGAUCAGUUUGAAUUAGGGUCAGAUCCUGACUCUGUCUCCUGAUUGGAUGAUUGUAUUAAAGCUCUCCGAUUGGUUAUAGAUGUUUUAUUUGAAUCAUCUUUUAAUACUUUAAUACAAUCAUCCAAUCAUUCUUUAAUACAAUCAUCCAAUCAGGAGACAGAACAGAGUCGGGAUCUGACCCUAAUUCAAACUGAUUGGCGCGGCUCGAUGAAUCAAUUGCCGCUUUCAACCAGAGGUUUA